UAAGCGUGCGCAGGCGGUUUUGUAAGUCUGUCGUGAAAUCCCCGGGCUCAACCUGGGAAUGGCGAUGGAGACUGCAAGGCUAGAGUUUGGCAGAGGGGGGUAGAAUUCCACGUGUAGCAGUGAAAUGCGUAGAGAUGUGGAGGAACACCGAUGGCGAAGGCAGCCCCCUGGGUCAAAACUGACGCUCAUGCACGAAAGCGUGGGGAGCAAACAGGAUUAGAUACCCUAGU
rnacentral:rRNA from 1 species